rnacentral:rRNA from 1 species
UACGAAGGGGGCUAGCGUUGUUCGGAUUUACUGGGCGUAAAGCGCACGUAGGCGGAUCGUUAAGUCGGGGGUGAAAUCUUGGAGCUCAACUCCAGAACUGCCUUCGAUACUGGCGAUCUCGAGUCCGGAAGAGGUGAGUGGAACUCCUAGUGUAGAGGUGGAAUUCGUAGAUAUUAGGAAGAACACCAGUGGCGAAGGCGACUCACUGGUCCGGUACUGACGCUGAGGUGCGAAAGCGUGGGGAGCAAACAGG